CUUGAACUCCUGACCUCAGGUGAUCCACCCACCUCGGUCUCCCAAAGUGCUGGGAUUACAGGUGUGAGCCACUGUGCCUGGCUUAAACAUUUUUUUGUGGAGAUGAGAUUUCACCACUUUGCUCAGGCUGAUCUCAAACUCCUAAGCUCAAGCAAUCCUCCCACCUUGGCCUCCCAAAGUGCUAGGAUGACAGGCAUGAGCCACCGCACCUGGCCCACAGCUGCAUUUUUCAGUGCCCUGCCUGUACUGGUAGUCAGAUUCAGUCAGUGUAAACCCUGGACUCUUAACACAUGCUCAGUCCGAGCUGACAGCUACCAAAUGAGUUUAAGUGUCACCAGGGUUCAAACCUUUAACAGAGAGAUAAGCUAAAGACUGCCAGGGAAAUUAAAGUUAGAAAACACAUUGUUUCACUAGGGCUCUUGUCUUGAUUUGGCCCUUACCUAUCCUGUCGGCACCCUGUCACCUUCUGUCCACAUACAUGCCAAACUCGUUCAGGCCUCUGGGCACUCACACUGCUGUUCCCUGUAUGGGAUGUUCUUAUCUCACUUCAAUGAUAACCUUUCCUCAGAGACUUCAUGGCCACUCUAAAUCAGCACCUACUGGUCCAUUUUCUUCAUGACACCCAGACACUGCAUUAUUUGUGUGCCUGACUGUCCCUUCUUUCCCCUGAUACUCCCAGUGCCCAGCACAUAGUAGGUGCUUAACAAAGACUAACAGGAUUAAAAAAAAAAAUCACAGUUGCAGAAUACAUGCCUGCUUUGGGAAGGACAUAGAAGCACUUCAGUCUCACAUUAGUUCAUGGAGAGUAGCUGGCUUCCUGAAUAGAGAGGCGGGCAAGGCCUUUUAUCAAAAGGCUAGUGAAGCUGAGGGUUAACAUGAGCCAGGGCCAGCUGGGGAGGGUCACCAACUACUUACCAACCGAUUCUCUUUGCCUCUUGCUUCUCGGCAGAACUUUAUAAGCUCGUUUUCAAUAGUGGCUGGUGAGAAUGUGACAUCUCUGUCUUUGAGGUCCUGGUAAAAUCUUCCCAGAUAAGAAAUACAAACUGGAAAAGAGAGGGACGGGAGAUGCUCAGCAAUCACCAAGCUGUUCCAAUCCACCAGGAAGGAACUCCACCAACAAUUUUAAUAGGAGACAUGGGGAUGAAUCAUUAGAGGUGAGCUUUUCCAUCACCGAUUUUUCUCAGUUGCCUACAGGUAGACGGAACCCGGUUCAAGGUGGCAAGGGUCCCCUGGUACACCCAGGGAAUCAAAAGACCAAGCAUCACCCAGUGACCUAUAAACGACUCCUCCCUGCUCCUUUCAUCAAGUUUAAGCCCAUGGUGAACACGUGUCCUUGAGACGGGACUCACUGUGACCUCGUAAAUGGAGAGACUGGAAGGUGAGGAGAAAAACCAUCAAAAUGCUGCUGCUAAUUUCCAAAUAUAACAGCGGACCCAGAGGUGCAGCUUUGUGAUCCCAACAGACAGGGCGCAGCACCCACGGCCAGCCCUGUGGCUCCCGACGUCGGACGGGGAGCGGUAACCUCUGGACGGUGGUGGGGACAAUAACUCAGGCGUGAUGGAGAUUUCAGGCCAAGUUUUCAACGGGAUCUAGUCUCAACUUUUCCUCGUCGGACCAAUGUUUUCUAGGCCCGGGCAAGAUUUACUAGGGCGGGCGCCGGAGCCUCCUCGUGCAGGCCCCUCCGGGACCCCCCCGUCGCCCCCGCCCCCGCCCUCUUGGCCCCGGCCGUCUGGUGAUUUUGUGGGGUUCAGCGCCGUCGCCAGAACGGUCACGGAGCGCGGCCCCAGGCCCCCCAUCCAGCACCUUCGCAGUCGCCCGGCCGCAGCGCCCGGCCGCCCGGCAGCACGCUCAGAGCCAGCGCCACCGCCAGCCCCUGCGUAGCCCACAUCCUCCUCCUCCUCCUCCUCCGCGGCCGCCGCCGACCGACUGAACCGCACCCGCCGCGCCGCGCCGCCUCCAAGUCCUGGCCGCGCGCCGUAGCUCCCCAUUGGCGGGGGUGCCUCCGCGCCCUCCCACACGCCACACCUCCAUUGGUCCAUAAGCCGUGGAGCCCAGACGGGCGGCUCCACGCUGCCCUCCCUCAUUGGCUGGUGGUGUCUGAGCCCUAGACAGUUGUCGGCCGCUGAUUGAGCCCGAGCCGGCCGCAGGAAGCGGCUACAGCAGCGACGGAAGCGGUGUGGACCGCCAUAUUGGCCAACCUUUGGAAGCCCACCUCCUGAACCUCCACCUGACCGGAGACCGCCGUGCGUAGGCUGACAGGAGACGUGCGGGGUGGACGGACGGCGGGACAUCCGGAGGAAGGGCUCAAGGCGAGCCAAACUCAAAGCUGGGCCGCCACUCUAGACCGUGGAGGGAAGCGCCCGGGCAGGAUCAUCGGUCGAGGAUAUGGGGUCGCCUCAGUGGGAAGGUGAGGGGCUCGGGAGGUGCCCUUACAAGCUCAGAAGCGUGGCUUGGUGGCUGGCCCGCCUCCUGCCUCCCCGCUAGGCCUUCGGGGUCCCGUGCUGCUGAGGGGCCUCCUGAGUGGGGUCCCGGGGAUCAGCAGAGAAGCACUGGAGGAUGUUUCCAUUUCGACUGCCCUCCUUCCAAGUGCCCUCCUGGCUCCCUGCCUUGAGGAAAGGUUGGCUCUACUCAGUGCAAAAAGGACAUGUCUAUGGGGCUAAAAAGGGCUUGGAGCCCGGCGACAAGGGUUGGAGAGGGGCACAUCCUCUGCUCCCAUUCAGUGAAUUCAGUGGAUCAUUAUCAGAUAUUCAUCUUUAAUUCACAUCACAGCAGUCAAGGAAGUGGGGAAAGGGGGAAAAAAUCAAGUGGCAGAUAUUUACAUCUAAAAUUCACAUUACUUGUUGGAUUUUGAACAUGCUACCACAAUAUAUACAGUAAAAUAAUACCUCUUGGGACAAUGGUACAAAUUUUGUUUCCUUUAACUUUGCUUUUCUGGUACAGGUAAGAUCAUUUUUAAAUCACUUGUUUUCUUUAAACAUGAAUACACAAAAGAAUGGUUAGAAGUUUUCUUGUUUUAAAUAAGCACAGAAUGCGUGAGGUUAAAAACACAUUUAUAGUGCUGAAUACCAAUUGGACAUCACACGCUAUACAUUUUUUGCUCAAAUUCCUGUACAAAUACACAGCAUUCAAAUAGGUAUUUACAAAUAAGCUUGAAAGAAUGAAAAUCAGUAUUUUACAAUCUUCUCAAAGGGUUCUCAUCUCUGGCCUCCCAUUUCCCCUCAGACUGAAUAAUUCUCCAACAAAAGGGAUUUCAGAAUGUGUCCUUUCAUUCAGUUAGGGAAAAUGGAGAGGGGAAACAAACGGUUUCAACUUGCAUAAUGCGAAGCCAAAUGAACCCAUACUCCCCUCCUUACCUCUUGUGCCACGAAGUGGAGAAGGUAGCUGUUCUUAUGUGAUGACUGCCUUGUCCAGGGAUUGACGUUCAGAAGUGCCUUAAAAUCUAAGCCCUCCUACCUAUGAAUCAAAUCUGAAGCUAGCCCCGAUCCUCUAACACCUGUGAACACCAGACGGUCCAGAGAGUGAAGCUUGCAAAUAAAUGUAGGCUGAGAAGCAGGCCAGCCCUUUGAGGGCCCACAUCCUCAGCAGCCUUCUGCCCCACUCUGCCUGGAGUGAGCCUGAUGGUAUCAGAGGGGACCUACACUGAUGAUAAAGCCCCAGAAAAACCCUGGAGGUAAUUUAGACCUCCAUCUUUCCCAGUAGGUUAUGAGCAUUUCUGUUAAAUAAGCUGGGGUUAGUUUACAAGUGAAAAACACCCUGACCAUGGCCUUUACUGUCUGGAAAUAGGGGCAGUGGAGAAGGGAUGAGGGGCUUGGGCCCAGGGCCUGGCUGUGGAGGUCACACAGGCCAGCAGAAGAGGAAAUGGGGGCAACAUGCCUGCCCAACAAGGCAGCCUUGUGACCAUCAUUAAUAUGAACUUGAGCAAA